UACGAAGGGUGCAAGCGUUACUCGGCAUUACUGGGCGUAAAGCGUGCGUAGGUGGUUCGUUAAGUCUGAUGUGAAAGCCCUGGGCUCAACCUGGGAAUGGCAUUGGAUACUGGCGACCUAGAGUGCGGUAGAGGGGUGUGGAAUUCCCGGUGUAGCAGUGAAAUGCGUAGAUAUCGGGAGGAACAUCUGUGGCGAAGGCGACACCCUGGACCAGCACUGACACUGAGGCACGAAAGCGUGGGGAGCAAACAGG
rnacentral:rRNA from 1 species